AAGCUAAGGUUAUAAACUAAUAGAAUAACCCAUUUCUUCUGCCCAAAUUCCGCGCCCAAAAACCCAUUCUUCCUCCCAAAACGAGAAACAUUUCCCUCUCUUCCGCCCAAAAUCUCUCUUUGUCACUCUUCCACUAAAUUGCAGAGGUUUCUCGUUGCGACAAUCAAUCUUCUUCUCAAAUCUUUUCAAUCAAUCUUCUAAUUGCUCUUUUCUUCUCAAUCUUCUUCUCGUUGGGAUUUGUCUAAUUGGUCUGUCCUUCUCAAUCUUCUUCUCUUUGCGAUUAGGCCAAAAGGUUGAAUGGAUUAAUCAAUCUGGGCUGUUGAAGAGAAGAAAGGGUUUGUGAAGGGAGAGUUAGGGCAUUUCGGUCAUUGUGAAGCUGAUCUGUGUGGGAACAAUGAAUCUUCAGAUUGUAUGGAAACUAUUGAUAAAGAAUGUGGUGGAUGAUGAGUAAUGAAGGUGGCCAUUACUGUUCGAAAAAGAGUGAUGAUAUUUGCUGUGAUGUUUGUGGCCAGCUUUGUAUGAUUUUUUGGAUUCAAGUUUUGGGUGAUUAUUGUUCUUUAAAAAAGAUAAAUAAAUAAAAACCCUUUCGUUUUUAUUACUAUUUUUUAGGUGUUAGGCAAGCGGAAAUGACGGCAGUAACAAUAAGCUUCAACUCUAUUCUUACUGGAGGAGCUCAAGUUCUUGUCGUGUUUUUUUAAUCAAUUUAUUGUCUUUCUACUCUUCAAUUGAAAAGUAUUUGAAAUUUGGUUCUGGGUAUUUGAGUAUUUGAUUGCAGGUUUAGAUUAUGAACAUAAAGCUGUGAACUUGGUGAAGGAAGAGCAAAACAGUCCUGAGUUUAGAAAGCCCAAUCCUCUUGGUUAUGUGCCGGUUUUGGUAGAUAGAGAUGUUCUUCUUUCUGAUUCUUUUGCUAUUUUACUGUAUCUGGCAGAGAAGUAUCUUCAGCAUCCAUUGUUGCCUUCUGAUCUUAAGACAAAAGCUAUCAAUUUUCAGAUUUCUACAACUCAAGUGUUUGUUGGAUCUUACCAUGUCAUCUUUUCUUUGCAAAAUUAAAAAAGCGCAGCCUUCAGUUAAGGAGAAAAUGAUUGAGAUGCAAGAUGAAACUUAGGCUGGGGAGAGUGCAAGAACUGAAGCUGAAAUUUGUGAGGAAGUACUUGGUAAAGCUUCUGGCUUCAACCAGAAAUUUGCUUUUUGUGUGACUCAGCAGCAUGAUACAGCAGAAGCAACAAAGUUAAGGCGCAUAGUUGAACAACAAAAUAGUAUUAAAGAUUUAGGGGAGCAUCUCACACAAUUUGAUCAACAGAAGAGAAAAUCAAAAUGUUUGAAGAACAACAAGCUCGUAUGCUGGGGAUGCAGACUUACAUGACUAUAGCAGUUGCACACGCGCAACCUGCUCCCGCUCCAACUCGACUGCCAUCUCCAUCUCCAUCUCCAUCUCCAACUGAUGACAAGUCUUCCUCAUCCGUUACAGCUGCUUUUAGAGCCUUAAUUGGUAACGUUUGAGAUGUUAACAUUGAUGGUUUGUUUUUUGUUGUGUGGGCAAUAGAUAUUUUGACAUGGGGGUAGGCUAUCUUUUUGGACUUUUUGGGAUUGCUUACACAUAUCCUUAGAUGGUGUAUAUAUGGGGUGGGCAUUUUGUUUGUUGGAGUUAUGCACAGAUAGAUAGGUACCGAUGAAAAUGAGUGCAUGUUUUCUUUUUUUGGUUAUGCACACAUGAUAGAGCAUUUUAGAUUUUUAUUGUUUAUCAUGCAUAAAACUCCCAUGUAUAGACUAUUAAUAUAUAUAUGAAAUGAAGAUAUUUUAUGUUAUUGAUCCAUA